GAAUCAUCGCUUUAUAACGAUGUUCUUAUCAGCUUAAUAUCUGAUACGUUACUCAUGGAGUAACAAGAUAAUAAACUAAUUUUUGGACAGCAUCUCUCAGCUUCGAAUUUAUUCGAUGAGAAGAUGAGGAUCUGAUACGUAUUGAACUGCAACGUAUUGGGUACACCACAA